GACGAACGCUGGCGGCGUGCCCAAUACAUGCAAGUUGAGCGCUGAAGGUUGGUACUUGUACCAACUGGAUGAGCAGCGAACGGGUGAGUAACGCGUGGGGAAUCUGCCUUUGAGCGGGGGACAACAUUUGGAAACGAAUGCUGAUACCGCAUAAAAACUUUAAACACAAGUUUUAAGUUUGAAAGAUGCAAUUGCAUCACUCAAAGAUGAUCCCGCGUUGUAUUAGCUAGUUGGUGAGGUAAAGGCUCACCAAGGCGAUGAUACAUAGCCGACCUGAGAGGGUGAUCGGCCACAUUGGGACUGAGACACGGCCCAAACGCCUACGGGAGGCAGCAGUAGGGAAUCUUCGGCAAUGGACGAAAGUCUGACCGAGCAACGCCGCGUGAGUGAAGAAGGGUUUCGGAUCGUAAAACUCUGUUGGUAGAGAAGAACGUUGGUGAGAGUGGAAAGCUCAUCAAGUGACGGUAACUACCCAGAAAGGGACGGCUAACUACGUG
rnacentral:rRNA from 1 species